rnacentral:rRNA from 1 species
GGACGGGAUUGGAGAGCUUGCUUUCCAUGAGAGUGGCGCACGGGUGCGUAACACGUAUGUAACCUACCUUUAUCAGGGGGAUAGCCUCUCGAAAGAGAGAUUAAGCCCGCAUAAAAUCACAGUACAGCAUUGUGCAAUGAUCAAAUAUUUAUAGGAUAAAGAUGGGCAUGCGGAACAUUAGCUAGAUGGCGGGGUAACGGCCCACCAUGGCCAUGAUGUUUAGGGGAUCUGAGAGGAUGGCCCCCCACACUGGUACUGAGACACGGACCAGACUCCUACGGGAGGCAGCAGUAAGGAAUAUUGGUCAAUGGGCGGAAGCCUGAACCAGCCAUGCCGCGUGCAGGAAGACGGCCCUACGGGUUGUAAACUGCUUUUGUACGGGAAUAAACCUUGAUACGUGUAUCAAGCUGAAUGUACCGUAAGAAUAAGGAUCGGCUAACUCCGUG